rfam:Tissierella praeacuta DSM 18095 genome assembly, contig: EK13DRAFT_scaffold00005.5
UCCAUGGCGACGUGGAAUCUGAAGGAAGCCGAAGGCAAAAUCCUGAACCGACGAACAGAAAUCACAUAAGGCUGAUUUAGGGAGGAUGAGUUUGCUUAACAAAACAAAGUCCAAUACUACCCGAACUCUUUACAGUAAAUGUGACGGUUACAUGGGAGGAAGGUUGUUGUU